GAAGAACCAGACAUGUUGACGCAGAGGUCCAUGACUGCAGGAUCACCAGUCAAGGCAGAAAACACAGAGAAGAGAGUUAAGGGUCGCAGACUUUGGAGUUCAGCUGAAAAAGCGGCAGUAUGGCGACAACUGGGACAGUACAUCACUCUUGAAAGAGUUCCUGGUAAA